ensembl:snoRNA
CCUCCUUUUCUUGGCGGGGGCCGGGUGUGUAGUCCCGCUCCCCGUUAUGUACGGAGGCAGAGGGAAAGGGCUCCGGCUCCCUCGGCGUCAUGUCUUCGGUGCCGGCGGCUUCUCGUCCACCGGUUCUAUCCUCAAGCGCCGAGACACCC